rnacentral:lncRNA from 1 species
GCAGCCAAAUUUUGAAGUGUAAAAGAGUAGCUCAAAAACCUAUGAAAAUGAACUUUAAAGUAAGCUUUUAUAGUUGAAAUAAGAGUUCUUGAAAUGUUGAGCAGGAAUUUUAAUUUACUGUUUUGAAAUUAAUCAAAAAUAACCAUUAAGGAACAAACGUUGGGAUUUAUGGAUGUACUUGGCAUUCUUCUCGUGAUUGACAUAGCCAUAGAACUAAUAUAGAGUGAACACCUCUAUCCAUAUCUAAAGAAUAAUGGAAUUUUUUUAUAAUGGAGAGAGAGAGACAGA